AACAAACGCUGGCGGCGUGCCUAAUACAUGCAAGUCGAACGGGGAAAGUAGCAAUAUGAGUACUAGUGGCGCACGGGUGAGUAAUGCAUGGGUAAUCUGCCCUCAAGCUGGGGAUAACCGGUCGAAAGACUGGCUAAUACCGAAUGAGACCACAAGGACUGAGGUUCUAGGGGUUAAAGGUUUUUCGCUUGAGGAUGAGCCCAUGUGGGAUUAGCUAGUUGGUGAGGUAAUGGCUCACCAAGGCGACGAUCCCUAACUGGUCUUAGAGGAUGAUCAGUCACACUGGAACUGAGACACGGCCCAGACUCCUAUGGGAGGCAGCAGUAGGGAAUAUUGCGCAAUGGGGGAAACCCUGACGCAGCGACGCCGCGUGAGUGAUGAAGGCCUUCGGGUCGUAAAGCUCUGUCGUAUGGGACUAACAAAAUGAAGGUACCAUGCAAGAAAGGAUCGGCUAACUUCGUGCCAGCCGCCGCGGUAA
rnacentral:rRNA from 1 species